rnacentral:rRNA from 1 species
UGGGGGAUCUUGCACAAUGGGGGAAACCCUGAUGCAGCGACGCCGCGUGAACGAUGAAGCCCUUCGGGGUGUAAAGUUCUUUCGACAGGAACGAUAAUGACGGUACCUGGAGAAGAAGCUGCGGCUAACUACGUGCCAGCAGCCGCGGUAAUACGUAGGCAGCGAGCGUUGUUCGGAGUUACUGGGCGUAAAGAGUGCGUAGGCGGCGAGCCAAGUUUGGUGUGAAAUCUCCCGGCUUAACCGGGAGGGUGCGCCGAAAACUGGUUGGCUGGAGUAUGGGAGAGGAAAGCGGAAUUCCUGGUGUAGCGGUGAAAUGCGUAGAUAUCAGGAGGAACACCUGCGGUGUAGACAGCUUUCUGGACCAAAACUGACGCUGAGGCACGAAAGCGUGGGUAGCAAACA